GAUGACCCAUCCUGCAAAUCUAAAGGCGGGAACUGUCAAAAUGAGAAUACACCGUGCCAGAGGGGUCAUUACACCCGAGAUCAUUGUUACGAGGAUUCCAAACACAAAUGCUGUGUGAAAUUCCUUGAUAAAUCAUCCUGCAAAGCUGCCGGUGGGAUUUGUCAGGAUAAAAGAAAGCAGUGCUUAACGGGUUCUUAUAUUUUUGGUCAUUGUGGCAGUGAAUCCCACAUAAAGAAAUGCUGUCUAUCAAAAUAUCGAGAUCAAGACACCGGUGACUGUCCUGGCCUACCAAUUAUGUCACGUGACACAUGGGGUGCUUCUGAUCCUGCUUACAGUGUAAUAAACAUGACAUUACCCGUAAAGAUAUCCUUUA